rnacentral:rRNA from 1 species
UACGUAGGGUGCGAGCGUUAAUCGGAAUUACUGGGCGUAAAGCGUGCGCAGGCGGCGCUGUAAGACAGAUGUGAAAUCCCCGGGCUCAACCUGGGAACUGCAUUUGUGACUGCAGUGCUAGAGUGUGUCAGAGGGGGGUGGAAUUCCACGUGUAGCAGUGAAAUGCGUAGAGAUGUGGAGGAACACCGAUGGCGAAGGCAGCCCCCUGGGAUAACACUGACGCUCAGGCACGAAAGCGUGGGGAGCAAACAGGAUUAGAUACCCUGGUAGUCCACGCCCUAAACUAUGUCUACUAGUUGUCGGGGAUUUAUUUCCUUGGUAACGCAGCUAACGCGUGAAGUAGACCGCCUGGGGAGUACGGCCGCAAGGUUAAA